AAUCCUUUAACGAGGAUCUAUUGGAGGGCAAGUCUGGUGCCAGCAGCCGCGGUAAUUCCAGCUCCAAUAGCGUAUAUUAAUGUUGUUGCGGUUAAAAAGCUCGUAGUUGGAUCUCGGUUUCGGGCGAGCGGUGCGCCUUGCGGCGUCUACUGUUUGCCCGGACGAUUUUGCUGGUUCGUUCCUGGUUCUCUUAACCGAGUGCCAGGAGUGGCCAGCACGUUUACUUUGAAAAAAUUGGAGUGCUCAAAGCAGGCGCUACAGCCUGAACAUUAGUGCAUGGAAUAAUGGAAUAGGACCUCGGUUCUAUUUCGUUGGCUUUCGGAGUCGAGGUAAUGAUUAAUAGGGACAGACGGGGGCAUUCGUACUGCGACGUUAGAGGUGAAAUUCUUGGAUCGUCGCAAGACGAACUACUGCGAAAGCAUUUGCCAAGAAUGUUUUCAUUAAUCAAGAACGAAAGUUAGAGGUUCGAAGGCGAUCAGAUACCGCCCUAGUUCUAACCAUAAACGAUGUCGACUGGCGAUCCGCUAUCGUUAACUGAAAGACUUAGCGGGCAGCCUCCGGGAAACCAAAGUGUUUGGAUUCUGGGGGGAGUAUGGCUGCAAAAUUGAAACUUAAAAGAAUUGACGGAAGGGCACCACCAGGAGUGGAGCCUGCGGCUUAAUUUGACCCAACACGGGAAAUCUCACCAGGCCCGGACACCGGUAGGAUUGACAGAUUGAGAGCUCUUUCUUGAUUCGGUGGGUGGUGGUGCAUGGCCGUUCUUAGUUGGUGGAGCGAUUUGUCUGGUUAAUUCCGAUAACGAACGAGACUCUGGCCUACUAACUAGACGUUAGAUCCCUUCGUGGGUCUAUCGCAGCUUCUUAGAGGGACGGGCGGCGUUUAGCCGCACGAGAUUGGGCAAUAACAGGUCUGUGAUGCCCUUAGACGUUCUGGGCUGCACGCGCGCUACACUGAAGGAAUCAGCGUGUGUUCCCUGCCCGAAAGGGUUGGGAAACCCGUUGAACCUCCUUCGUGAUGGGGAUUGGGGAUUGCAAUUAUUCCCCAUGAACGAGGAAUUCCCAGUAGGCGCGAGUCAUAAGCUCGCGUCGAUUACGUCCCUGCCCUUUGUACACACCGCCCGUCGCUACUACCGAUCGAGUGAUUUAGUGAGGCCUUCGGACUGGUCUUCAGUAUGGCUUUCGGGUCGUGUUGGAGUAUCGGAAAGAUGACCAAACUUGAUUACUUAGAGGAAGUAAAAGUC
rnacentral:rRNA from 1 species